AGUAAAGUGAUGGAUCACAUACUCCCCAUGUGGGCAAAUAAUUACAUUUUUCUCUGCAAGUGUGUGCUGGCUGCUGGGACAAUCAAUCGAAUUUACAGAGUGUAAAUUAACACUUUGGGCACUUGUUGCCUAUGCUUGACACGAACUUGUUCGUCUCCUCCUUUACCAAAAUGAAAAAGAAAAGAAGAAAAGAAGGAAAUGAAUCUUUGGCACCACAAGAACAACAACAAAUCAAGAAGUGAACCAAACAUGAGAGAGAGAGAGAGAGAGAGAGGAGGAAGAAGAGGACCUAAUCUAGCAUGGAGAAACUGAACUUGCAGGUGCAAGUAGAGCUCAGUGUCAGCGUGAGGAGGGCAGGAGGCUGCGCGCGUGCUCCAGCGUGCGCGUCAGCUUGGCGAGGUCGAGCCUGACGCUCUGCUUGUCGAGGUAGGUGGUCUUGAUGGCGUUCCAGCCCUUCUUGUGCACGUCGUAGGGGUGCUUCAGGUAGAAAUGGUCCUUGGGGUAGAGGUCCUUGAGCGAGCUCUCC
rnacentral:lncRNA from 1 species